rnacentral:lncRNA from 1 species
AUGACAAAUAAAUUCCCUCUUAUAAACACCAGAUGGAUUCUCUUCAGACACAUUUUUACUAGAUUUAUAAAUGUGAUCACGCCUAAUAGAAAAUCCAUUUUGUUUUGCAAAUAAACAAUAAAAUUCAUAAGCAACAUUAUCACUUUCAAAUACUUGCCCUUCAAAAGGAACCCCCUCAUCAAUGUUGUUGACUUGAGGCAAGGGUUCAUGUUGUAGCUCUUGAAAUGUUAAAGAAUUUACAUAUUCAUUAUCUUCAAAUAGUUGCCCUUCAAAAGGAACCCAUUCAUCAACGUUAGUGACUUGAGGCAAGGGCCAAUCACUAACAUCAUUUCUUACUUCAGAUAUCAUAUUGAUCUUAGUUUAAAUAUGAUUCAUUCCUAUUUUCUAAAAAAUAAAAAUAAUUUUUAGAAAUCAUAAAUAAAAUAAAAUAGAAUUUGUUAGAAAUCAUAAAAAUAAUUG